UAGGUGUGUACAACCCUUCUGUCAACUUGCAAUCAGAAUAAUGUUUUAAAAUGAAAAGAAUAAAUGAAAAAAAAUAAUCCUCUAUCCCCAUUUUCUGACACAUUGAGUGUUCGCAUCAUGAACAAAAACCGCAAGAUAACCGCAACUCUCAUCAAAGCCCCUAAACUGAACCAAAAUGCCACCCAAAACCUGGACCAAAACAAAACCUAACAGUCACGUAACCAAAACCUUAACUCUAACCAAACCUCUCUUAAAGCCUUAGCCGAAGUCAAUCCUGGCCAAACCCUCAUAAAACAUGCCAAACAUCAACCGUCAGAAAAGUUCCACUUUGAGGCUCCAGAUGCCCUCGUAUUCUUGUGGAAGGUUUGCAUCCUUCCUGGCCUGAAAACCAGUCGUGGCGGCAACGUGACUAAAACUGCUACACAACGUCCAAAAAUGCACGCAGUAUUUCCCUUUCAUAUUUUUACAAGAGCCUGAGCAAUAAUAAUACACGGUCGCAGGCAAAAAUGACAAAUUUAAUGGAGGUCUAAGACCUUCGGCGCAAGGCUUCCUCUGCUUUGGAUAUUCCAAACAAAAAAGAAAAAGAUGAGGGCUCAGCUGAGGCUUGAUCUAAACAAUGAAUGAUUUAUGUGCUGGAAAGCAGUCUGGGACCGUGGCAGAGGUUUGUUGCUAUUUCUGAUCUAGCCGCUGCCUCCGUUGUCUGUCUGAGUCUUGACAGACAGACAAAGGAAUGAUGAAAAUGAGAAAAAAAAAAAAAGAAAUCGAAAAGUAUGAGGUGACAGACAUAAAAACAAGACGGGUGUAGAAGGAAGAGGCGGCAGCCGGCGACAACGCACUGGUCUGGCUUCGUGGUGGAACAGUUGAUGACACCUGAAAGCUGCGGAGGACGACAAAUGAAUCCAAACAUGAGUCAUCAUUCAUUUGGUUUUCCCUCUGAGCAGACCGACUAGAUGUCAUCAAUAGCACCGACUCAACACUGCGAGCUCACUAACUACACUUAUAUAUUCCAGCUCCUUGUUGGCGAACAAGUUGGGCAUAAAGCACUGA